UUUUAGGCCUCCAAGAAGAGUCCCAUUUAUUAGCAAAAUUACUUUAUUCUAACAAAUAGUUUAACACAAAAAUACGAACUAGCCCUCCAGGGAUCUUUGGGGUCUACGCUUCCCAUCGCCUCAGUGUCCGGUGCAUGAGGAAGGUGUCCUCUGAAGGGCGGGGCCGGAGUUGAAGUCGGAGAGGGGGCAGACCGUCCAGGGUCAGGUGCCUUGAGGGUGCGGGGAUGCGGGGGUCGCAGACGCUCCAACGGUCAGGGGACACAGCCUGGCUGCCGCCUCCUUUCCCCCGCCCCUCCUAGACGCCGCUACCGGAAACCGUUAACCCUUUCCUUCGGGGGCGGAGUCAGCAGCCCCACCCACCCUGUUGUCGCUCCCAGGCGUCAUUUCCCUCGCUCCGUCCCCAGGUUUCCGGCAGGCUUCCGCACUCACAGCCUUGGCACCGCCCCCAAGCCGAAGUGUUGGAAGCACUCACAGCCUUGGCACCGCCCCCAAGCCGAAGUGUUUUUGAGCUGGGGUCGGUUGAAGCCCUACGGGUCCUCAUCAGGGCCACUCCUCCUCUUGAAAACUCUGCUAUGGCUGAGUUACCCAGAGGAAUCUUAGUCCUGCUAGCGCUGCGAUGCCCAUUGCCCAGUGUGUCAGUCCUCAUUCUGGGGCGCCAAAUGGGGCAGCAUUUUUUUUUUUUUUUGAGACUGAGCCUCUCUCUGUAGCCCAGGCUGGAGUGCAGGGGCGCGAUUUCGGCUCACUGCAACCUCCGCCUCCCAGGUUCAAGAGAUUCUCCUGCCUCAGCCUCCUGAGUAGCUGGGAUUACAGGCGCGCGCCAUCACGCCCGGCUAAUUUUUGUAUUUUUAGUAGAGACGGUUUCACCAUGUUGGUCAGGCUGGUCUCGAACUCCUGACCUCGUGAUCCGCCCACCUCGGCCUCCCAAAGUGCUGGGAUUACAGGCAUGAGCCACCGCACCUGGCCAUAAAUGGGGCAGCUUUAAGGUAACGGUCCAGUGUGCCCUGACCUCCCACUCAGACCUGCACAGCAUUUCCGGUGUUCCGUUGCCUCCAAACUCGGACCGGAGUUGGCCUGUAUGAGUGCGGGCGAGGGUCGCCGACCCCAUCCCGGACUCCCUUCUGGGACACAGCAACUCUUGCAGCUUUUUGUGACUACUUUUACCUUCGAGAGUUCCCUGAAAUAUUAAUUUGUAUAAAAAGUAGAUAUCUGGCACGGGUGCGGUAGCGCAUACCUGCAAUUCCAACUCUGGGAGGCCAAGGCGGGAAGAUGUCUUGAAACCCUGAGCUGGAGACAAGCAUGGGCAACAUACCGAGACUCCACACCACCAUUCCCAAUCUCUACCAAAAGAAUUUAAUUUUAGCCGGGCGUGGUGGUGGUGCUCACCUGUAGUCCCAGCUACUGGGAAGGCUGAGGCGGGAGGAUCACUUGAGUCCAGGAGUUCCAGGCUGCAAUGAGCUCUGAUCAUACCACUGCGCUCUAGCCUGGGCGACAGAGCAAGACCCUGUCUCAGAAACAAACAAAAAACUCUGUAUUGUGGGUUCAAUGUUUUAUUUUGUUUUUUGAGACGGAGUCUCGCUCUGGUGCCCAGGCUGGAGACUGUGGCACAAUCUCAGCUCACUGCAACGUCUGCCUCCAGUGUUCAAGCAAUUCUCCCACCUUAGCCUCCCAAGUAGGUGGGAUUACAGGCGCCUACCACCACACCCGGCUAAUUUUUUUUGUAUUUUUAGUAGAGACAGGGUUUCACCGUGUUGGCCUCGAACUCCUGACCUCAAGUGGUUCAGCUGCCUUGGCCUCCCAAAGUGCUAUGAUUACAGGCAGUAGCCACUGCACCCAGCCUUGAAUUCAGUUUUUUUAAUUUUUAAUGUCAGUGGACUUAUCCUGGGCCCUGAGCUUUUCCACAUAGCAGAAGACCCCUGAACUGCAGAAAAGGAAAUGAGAGCUCCCACCUGCUCCUUAGGUUACUUGGGGCAGGUCCCCUCAAUUCUGCAAGUCUCCUUUCAUUUUUUGUGUAGAAUGUAAGUGGAAGUGGGUUCAGGAAUCCUUUCUUACUCUUUUUUUUUUUUUUUUUUUAAUUCUCCAAACUGCUUCAAAAAGGUUCAGGAAUCUUGAAGCUUUCCUGGAAUUGAUUGAUGCUCAGUCAACAGGCACGUUUGUGUACCACUUUUCAUUAUGAGUUUCCACAUUGUUCAUUUUAUCUUUCCAGGAAGUGCUGUGGAACAUCAGAUAGAAUGGAUAGCACAGCCCAAAUUUUACAAAAAGGAUUUUAAAGGAAGAUCUCAAUGGUGGAACACUAGAGGCUUUCCUGCUAAAGUUAAGAACAAGCAAGUAUGUCUAUUAUCUCAUUGUUCAAUUGUGAAAAGAAAUAGCGAGGUACAAAUAUAAAUUUUUAAACUGGGAGUAUAAAUUAAAAAUUUUUAAUAGCGACAUAGGAGGGAGAGAAUAGAAUGAAAGACAAACAGUCUUAUUCCUCCAAAUAUACUUUGUUUUGUAUAUUUGACUUUGGAAAUGUAUGCAUUUUAUAUGAUUAUAUUAAAAGGUUUUAAAAAAUCAGGCCAGGCACAGUGGCUUACACCUGUAAUCCCAGCACUUUGGGAAGCCCGGGUGGGUGGAUCACUUGAGGUCAGGAGUUCGAGACCAGCCUGGCCAGCAUGGUGAAACCCCGUUUCUACUAAAAAUAUAAAAAUUAGCCAGGCGUGGUGGUGCACACCUGUAAUCCCAGCUACUUGGGAAGCUGAGGCACAAGAAUCGCUUGAACCCAGGAGGCGUAUGUUGCAGUGAGCUGAGAUCGUGCAACUGGACUCCAGCCUGUGUAACAGAGCAAGACUCUGCCUCAAAAAGUAAUAGUAAAAUAAAAUACAAAUACAAAAAAAUUAGCCGGGUGUGGUGACAGGUGCCUGUAGUCCCAACUACUUGGGAGACUGAGUAGGCCAGUCACUGGAACUCAGGAGGUGGAGGUUGCAGUGAGCCAAGAUUGUGCCACUGCACUCCAGCCUGGGUGACAGAGCUAGACUCUCUGUCUCAAAAAACAAAAAACAAACAAACAAAAAAAACUAAUAAAUCAUGCUGUAUUUUACCUUAAAUUGAAAAGUAUCAAGACUGAGCACAGUGGCUCAAGCCUGUAAUCCCAGCACUUUAGGAAGCCGAGGCAGGCAAGUUGCCUGAGCUCAGGAGUUCAAGACCAGCCUGGGCAACAUGGCAAAACCUCGUCUCUACUAAAAAGUACAAAAAAUUAGCCAGGCAUGGUAGCACGUGCCUGUAGUCCCAUAGUCCCAGCUACUCAGGAGGCUGAGGCAUGAGAAUCACUUGAACCCAGGAGGCGGCGGUUGCAGUGAGCCAGGAUCUCGCCACUGCACUCCAGCCUGGAUGACAGAGUGAGACCCUGUCACAAGAAAAAAAAAAGUUGGGGUUCGGAACAGUAUUUGAGGGUACAUGGAUAAAACAAGAUUAGCCAAAUGUUGAUGACUGCUGAAGCAGGAUUUUAUUACUAUAUUUUCUCUACUUUUGCAUAUUCUUGAACAUUUCUGUGACUAAACGUUUUUUGUUUAUUUAAAAAAAGAGGCUGACGCAGUUUUGGCAUGCAGGAAGUGUUGGAGCUGAGACUCGAAACUGUCCCCCAGGCCUUGGCCAUGCUGAUAAAUAUCUAGGCCCUACAGGAGUUCGUGUCCAUGAACCCAGUAAACGCAAUUCCUCAGCCU
rnacentral:lncRNA from 1 species